rnacentral:lncRNA from 1 species
CAUUAAAAAUCACGUUAAAAUUUUUAACAUUUUAAGAAAAAUUAUGAAUCAAUAAUAUUAAUAUAAAAUUUUAUCCGAAAAACUCAGAAUUAAAUGCAUAAACAAAAAAACAAACAAACCCUAAAUCCUAUAAUCCUACGCAUUAUUCUAAACCAAACCGUAAACCCAACCUAAACCAAACGCUAAACCUUUUCUACUACCUAAACCCUAAAUCCUACCUAAACCUAGACCUUAACCCUAUCUAACCCUAAACCCUACAUAAACCUAACCCUAAUCCCUAAACCCUUCAUACUACCUAAACCCUAAACCUACCUAACCCAAAACGUAAACCCUACCUAACCCAAAACCCUAUUUAACCCUAAACCCUACCUAACCCUAAACCCUUCCUAACCCUAAAACCCUACCUAAAACCUAACCCUAAAUCCUACCUAACCCUAAACCCUACCUACCCUAAACUCUACCUAACCCUAAACUCUUCCUAACCCUAAAACCCUACCAAAAACCUAACCCUAAACCCUACCUAACCCUAACCCUACCUAACCCUAAACCCUACCUAACCCUAAACCCUACUAACCCUAAACCCUUUCUAACCCUAAACCCUACCUAACCCUAAACCCUACGUAACCCUAAACCCUACCUAACCCUAAACCCUACCUAACCCUAAACUCUACCUAGCCCUAACCCUACCAACCCUAAACCCUACUAACCCUAAACCCUACCUACCCUAAAUCCUUUUUAACCCUAAACCCUAAACCCUACCUAACCCUAAACCCUUUCUAACCCUAAACCCUUCCUAACCCUAAACCCUGCCUAACCCUAAAAAUCCUACCUAACCCUAAACCCUGCCUAAACCUAACCCUAAAACCCUACCUAAACCU